rnacentral:lncRNA from 1 species
AGAGAGAGCAAGAACCACUUUCUGGGUUACGCAUGUCUACUGUCUUCAGGAAAAAGAGGACCUUAGAACUGAAGGAGCAAGAUUCCAACAUCACACUGUUUUUGUUAGCUGUGUGUGUGUGUUUCCUGUGUAUCCAAAAGACAGAGGAGAUGAAAAAGCAAAAGAAAAGAAACGAGGAAUCAGAUUGGAAAGAGUAUGAGUUUGUACUUAUGAAAUAAAACUUUUAUCUCUCUACACAGGACCGGGAGUCUGUCCCAAUUUCCUGUCUCUAACCUCACUGGAAGUGCUGACCCACUUCUGGCUAUUUUUAUGUGUUUCUUUGAAAAUGCUUACUGUGAUUGGAGUUGACUUGCCGACUCUGUUCUGCAGCCUCCCCACCACCUGAGUCCCAAAGGGCGGCCCUUCCCACCUCACGCCCAGUAAUUAUGGGUGAGCGCAGAGCCAAAGGAUGGCAGGGCUUUGUUGGUGGUGCGACCAGCGGGUGACCCCUUUCCUCGCAAUCAGAGACUCAGGGACAAGCAGCUUGCACCUGCACGUGGAGCUUUGCACACGGCCUUUUGCCUGAUUUUCCUCUUCGAGGCAUGCCCCCUCCAUGAAAGAUGGGCAUCUUCCCAUGUUCCGGAAUUCUUGGGGGUGCGCUGAUUCCAGGCUCUCGCCCCAGCUUUGGGCCCAGGGCAGUGAGCAUGUGUAGUUACUUAUCUAGGAUUGCAACCUGAGUCAACAGUGAAACCAGGAAGUGAACUCGGGGUCCGGCAUUGUAUGGAAAGUUGGGUGUAUUUACUUUUCUCUUAAAGCAAACUUUGAUUGACUCUUUAAUAAGUUACCAUGGAGGAUAUAGUUCUGGUGAGAUUUGACUUGGCAUCCAAAUCUAAGGCACAUAUUGAUAAUGGAGGAGAGGAACAGGGAGUCUUUUAUGUUUUUCCAGUUUUAUCAUUAACCCCAAGUUCAGAAAUCUGUUUGCUUUUAAAAGUGUCAGUUUCCUCGUUUAGGAAGGUGACAGUUCUCUACUGAUGAUGAGGUUUUUUUUGUUUUUUUUUUGAGAUGGAGUCUCGUUCUGUCACCCAGGCUGGAGUGUAAUGGCACGAUCUUGGCUCACUGCAACCUCUGCCUCCCGGGUUCAAGCGAUUCUCCUGCCUCAGCCUCCCGAGUAGCUGGGAUUACAGGCAUCCACCACCAUGCCUGGCUAAUUUUUUGUAUUUUUAGUAGAGAUGGGGUUUUGCCAUGUUGGCCAGGCUGGCCUUGAACUCCUGACCUCAGGUGAUCCGCCUGCUUCGGCCUCCCAAAGUGUCGGGAUUACAGAUGUGAGCCACCGCGUCCAGCCUGUUGAGAGGUUUCUCCAGGACGUCACCUGUAUGAGGUACACAGUGUGAUGACACACUCUGUGCUUUUCCUACUUGUGUCCACGUGAGUGUCUGGAGCUGCCCUUCAAGGAGAGCAAUAGAUGAAUGAUUCUGCCUUCCCGCUGAGAGGGAUGUGGGUCCUGCGGAUGGUCGGGGUGAAGCUUCCUCUCCUUUCUGCUGACAGCACUUCCUCAUUAAAUGCAGAGAUCUGCAAAAAGGGAAAAUAAAAACACAAGAAGAAAAAUGAGGCAUCAAAGACCCUCCUCUUAUGCCCAUGGGGAUUUGGAGGACGGGUUAUUUCUUUGCUUUCCCAAAGGGCCCAAGAAGAGCUUCCGGGGAGAGGGAGAGCACCCUUUUUGAGGAUUCCCGACAAGCCUGUCUCCCGAGGGCUCCUGUAGGAGAGGCGGUAACUAGGGCGCAGAUCAUUUUCUGUGUUAAGGGCAUCCAAGGAGAGAAGAGAGUGACCGCCUAUGACUUGGGAGGCCCGUAAAGAUGGGGUCCUGGAUGAGCAGUAGCAAGGAGGGUACGGGGAUGGGUGUGCCUUGGGGGCUGGCAGUGAGGACGGCAUCGUCCCUAGAGAGUUUAAAGACAAGAAUCAAUCCAGCUCCAAGUGAGACUGCUUUUAAACCAUUUUAAUUGCCACACACCAGUAAGUUCAAGCAAUAUCAGUGAUAAAAUCUCCUUCCGUUGGGCAGCCAGUCCUUCUGCACCCUCCUGGUGUGUCCUGAGUAAGUGGGGUAGGGAGGAGCUAGUGUGGCCCGAAGACAAAGGAACCCGAGAUAUUUCUUUCCUCUUCCAAGCAAGAGAGGCUGGAGACAGCACAUGAGUGUUCAGGGAUCCUUGGGGGUCAAAAGAGUCACCUGAGAGAAAGGAAGAGAGGGGAACUGCCGCAGCUCAGUGAGGGGAACACCGCAGGCUCUGCCUCUCUUCCCCGGCUGUCUGGGAGGAGGGUCUGGAGUGGAGUCCAUGAGGGGCUGGGCGGGGCUGGGGCCCUACUUUGGAGGGAAUAUGGUAAGCAGACUGUACAGCCAAGCAGACAGUCCUGGAGGUUGAGGGCGUGACAAAGAACUGUAGCAUAUUCUGUGUGUAAAGACACCUUUGCCUUCUGUCCUGACCCGCAGACAGGUGCUUCUCCUGCCCUGCCGUGCUUCUGCCAUUUCUGGUGGAAAUAGCUCAAAAGACCCCUGCUUAUCCACAGAGCAGGGGCAUUUACCCAUUACAACCCCCUGGUGAAGUGACACGGUUAUGCCCAUUUCACAGACGAGGAAAUUGAGGCCCAGAAAGGGGCAGGAAACUUCCACAGCUGGGAAGCGGUGGAUCUGGGACUUGUUUGCCCCAGAGGCUGCCACCCUGGCACCUCACUGCCCUCAAAGGCUGACGGUGCCCCCAGCAGCUGUAACCAUUUCUUUCGAGUGCUUUUCAUUGUGUGGAAGAUCAUUUUGGGGGGUGCACAGAGCUCCCAGCUUAUUGUGAUUCAGCAAGACCCUGGCGUGUCACUUACGGGAGGUGGCCUUGCUGGGCAUAGUGCCGGCCAGCCAGAGACCCUCAGUGAACAGGGGGCGUUUCCAGAGGGCCUGGUGUUUUCUGCAUGGCAAGACUCCUACAGAGAGGCUGACCUGGUUUUCAGAGAGCAGUUUGCGUUUCGGGUGGCCCUGGGGGCACAUGUUCCCAUUGGAUUCCUGCACUGGAAGUAAGCUUGUGGGGCCGGGCUGCCAGCAGUGCCUGCCUUGUACCAGGGCUUUUUUGGUAUGGAAAACUUUAGAGAGGCGUCACCACCACCUCUUUUUUGCUCAGCAUUUGCUCAUCUCUCCCCACCUGCUUUUCAGGGCUCAAGCCUGGAAGAAGCCUUAGGACGUGGGGGAAAUGUCUAACGUGGAGUCCACCUGCUGAGCAGGACCGGGUGUGAAGGAAGAAGCUUUGUUCUGAUUCCUCAUGGCCCAGCCACCCCUCGCCUGAGCUGAGCCUGGCCACAGGGCCCGCCUGCAGGAAGGGCUGGCCCAUGGCUUCACACUGGGCUCAGGCUGCGCUAAGAGCCCCGGGUGAGGACCUCCAAGCCCAGGAAGCCUCAGUUGGCCAAAGUGCUAGAUGCGUGUGGUCUGCUUUCAUCCCCGCUUCCCUCAGAGCUUGCAUUUUCCAAAUUCAAGAGAGGCUCCACCUUCAAGAAGACCGGCCUGUCCCUGUUAUUUAUGUGUCCCCCUACCAUAUCUCCCUUUGUUCUGCAGAGCGGUACGCAUAAAAAGCUUUUGGGGAAGGGGAGAAGUGUGGCUCAGUGACUUGCACAGGAAAUUGGAAAUUGGAUCCCCAGGUCUACCCCCACUCCUCUGACUCAUGCUUAAACAAACCCAACACAUGCCCUGACCUUUGCUCUCUCCCUCUAUUGCAGGCCAUACCUGCCAGCAGCCUGCUCUCCCGGCCAUGCUGCGGUUCACAAAAGUCCAGCAUUUGGCUAGCUUCCUGGGGGAAUGAAUCUUUCAGAGCCAAACUAAUGCUAUGCAUGCAGCUUAUGAUUUUUUUUUUUUUGUCUUCAACAAAGUGAAUACUUACUUUUUUUUUGCUCUUUAAAUUGUCAUCCAUUAUAUUCAUCAACACAGAGAGAUGGAACAUUUGGCAAAAUUAUUUUAAGUAGCACUCCAACCUGUGAUCGUAAUUUCAAAUCAAGGAAUUUGCUGAGCAGCUGUGGGGAAGAACAAAAGGCCUGAGAGUGAUUUAGGGCCUGGGGGAGGGGAGGCGGUGGAGUUGAAGGCCCCAGCCGGUAGCAGAAACAGCUGGGGAGGUAGGUUGUGCACACCCCGUGGGGGAGCCGGCCUUCUCAGCCCUGCCAUCCCAUCCACACGUGCCUCAUCAGAGAGUUUUCGUCUCCUGAACAUACCACAUGCAGCACUUUAAAAUAGAUAAACUAAGAGGAUUCAGAUUCAGUUUGAUACCCUCGCUGAGAGCUUCGGCUCGGGAGUUGGACAGGCCUGGCCUUGAAUCCUGGCUCUGCCUCUCACCAGCCUCAGUUGCAUCAUCUGUAAAAUGGGGCUAAUGUAGCAAUCACUUCGCAGAUAUUACUAUGAGGUUGAGUGUUUAUUUGACCCAGUCACUGGCAUAGAACAAGUGUUCAAAAUACUAUUAUUAUCACCAAUAUGCAGAAAUGUUCAAUGUAUACACUCGGUUUUUGCAACCAAUUUAUUCAAUGAACAUCUAUUGAGCACCUGUUAUGUGUUAGGUGCAGGGCUGGGUGUUGUGUGGGUACAAACACAUAAAGCAUAGGAAUUAAUAUGCUAUUAGAUAAACUAAAAAGACUUCUAUUGACUUAAAAAGUAAUAAUGACUUCUAAGCAUAUUUAAGUAAUUUACGAAAGAGCCUUUCUUUUUUUUAUUUUUGAGAUGGAGUCUUGCUCUGUCUCUCAGGCUGGAGUGUAAUGGUGCUAUCUCAGCUCACUGCAACCUCUGCCUCCCGGGUUCAAGCAAUUCUUGUGCCUCAGCCUCCAGAGUAGCUGGGUUUAUAGGCGCGUGCCACGACGCCCAGCUAAUUUCUGUGUUUUUAGUAGAAACGGGGUUUCACCAUGUUGCUCAGGCUAUCUUGAACUCAUGACCUCAGGUGAUCCACCUGCCUCGGCCUCCCAAAGUGCUGGGAUUACAGGUGUGAGCCAUUGCACCCGGUCAAAAGAGGCUUUCUUAACAGAUGGUCUAUUAGAAGCAAUUUGAAAAGAAAAUAUAGAGUUGAAAAAAAUAAAAGGGAAGCUGCAUUCUUUUUAAUUGUUUUUGAACUUGUUGCUUUUCAACACAGCUAUUAUCUAAAUUAACUUAAUUUCUUAAAAUAAGCCCUGCUUGAUACCCGGGAACCUUCAAUCAACUAAUUUGCAGAUAAUCAGACCUAUUUACAAAUAGUCUGGUUUGUCUGAGUGACUUUCAGUGACACAUGCAUACUCAGAAAGGGUAUCAUUUGCCAGGGAUUAGUCAGUUCUGCUGAAUUACAGUCUUCAGAAUGAGAAGUCAUCUAGUUCAACCUUUCAUCCUUUUAAUAGAAUUUCUGGUGGAUAACAGCUGAGCUUCUCCUCCGACUCUGCUAGGAAUGGAGAACUUACUACUUCAAAACGUAGAUGCUGCCUGGGUUGAGCAGCUCUAAAUGUUCAAGAUGGAAUCAUUAAUAGGAAACUAAUUGAAAAGAAUUUGCAUAGCACGUCUCAAGGACAAAAAUCCCUUCUGUUGUUUUUUCCUUUUGUCUUGGUCUGCAUCUCUGUCAUUUGGUGGUGUUUGGACUGCCUGUCUGUCUUCCCUUUUUACUCCGAGCGGCGGCCUGCCCUCUGCCCCCUGCCCCCAGGGGAACAACAAUGGCCCUGAUCACAAUUGGGUGGCCAAGCAUAUCAUGCCGUGGAAGUUUGGAGCCAACACUCAGUUCCAGUUGCUCCUCUCCUUAUUCUCUAGGGUGGCUCCACUAGGUUCUGCUUUCUCAGAAAACAGCAGUGAACUUUGUUCAGCCGAAACCCUAUUUCCCAAGCUGAUACUUGCUCACUGGCCUCCCCUCCUCCAGCUGCUCCCAACUGCUGACCACUUCUUGAGCGCACUGCUAGCUGCUUCUGCUGUUCCAGCACUUCCUGGAAGGCAGCUGCAAGCAGCCGAGGCAGAUGGAGCCCAAGCCCUGUUGCUUGUGGUCUUGGCUUACUGAGCCUGAAUCCACGACCGGAUCAUUAGAAAAGGGACGGUGUGUGUGCCUACCUUUGAAGCCAGUAGGCCAAAAGAAGGGUGAGCAGGACAGCGCCAUAACACCUAGAGUUACUGUGUUUGGUUCACACUUCUGGUUUCCUGCAGAAUUGCUAGAAUUUUUAAAAAAAGGAAGCAGCAAGUUGAGAGCAACUAAAGUAAAAAGAGAAAAGUGAUACAAAGGGAAAGGUUUAUUUUUGGAGCUCUUAGAUUCUGAAACUCCUUCUGACUCUUUUAUCCUUUUACCUCUCCCUUUCUCCUCACUGGGCUCUUUGUCCUCAUGGGGACUGUGCAUCUCUGGUCUCACUCUAGCUCUGGGUCCCUUAGGCUCUUCUGGUUUUCUGGCUCCUGGAGUGAGCCCUUUCAAUGAGGCCCUCCCUCAAUUUCCCAUCCCUCUUGUUCUUCUGCCAUCCAGACUCAUCACAGCCCAAAUCUGAGACCAGCUGGCUGCACCGCUGGCUACUCAGAGCGGCUGGAGACAGCCAUGCCCUGGGGCGACUUGUUCCAUGGUGAUCUGACUGGUUCAUGCAGGGGUCUCGGACCUCACGGACCUCAUCAGGAGCAUCAAAUGGGGUUUUUUUUGGCCGGAAUGAUAUUUAAAACAAUUUGAUUUAGUUAUGAGCAUUUAAGAAAUAGGAGGUCACCAGAAAAUCCAGAGUUUUAGCUCGGCAAGCAGAGAUGGAGAGCUGGCGGUACCCGGUCUUUACCCAUUCUGGAAGGACCACUGGCUGGAGCUGAGAGGCAGUGGCUUCUCUGACAUGGGGCAUACACUCCAUUUUGCUACCUUCUCUGCAACAACAGAGAGUGUCUUCCUGGACCCCAAACUGAGAAUCAGAUGCCUUUAAUCAACGGGCUUGCUUCCUCCCACUCCCCAGACAACCUGAUUCAUGAGAUGCCUGCCUGUUCCCCGUGGGCAUCUGAGUUUGCAGCCCAUGCUCAGUAGAGUUUAUUCGGCAAUCCUUUUCCUGACCUAUAGCAGACUCCUAGCCCACCACAUUUCUAAUGCAGCUGUUGCAAGUCUUGUCCAGACCUUUCAGACCCUUGAUCUCUCCGGGAGAUUGUGCCUCAUACAUUAUUGAAAAGAUUGAGGCCACACAACAUGUGCUCUAAUGCCUCAGCUUUCUGCCUUUCUGCUUCUAAGGUCUCUGUUCUCUCUCCAUUCCGUCCUCCUUCCCUCCUUUCUGACUCUCUUUUUCUUUUUUUCAUCACUUUUAAAAAUUGUAAAAUAGAAUGUACGUACAGAAAAAGGAGGCCGAGGCAGGAGAAUCACUUGAACCUGGGAGACAGAGGUUGCAGUGAGGCGAGAUCACGCAUUGCACUCCAGCCUGGGCAAUAAGAGUGAAACUCUGUCUCAACAAAAAAGAAAAACAAAAAAGAACCAAAAAAAACCCCCCAAAACCAAAGAUAUACAGUUCAGUGAUUUAUCACAAAGUCAACACCAGUGUCAUUAUCAGCCUGAUCGAGAACUAGAACUCUGCCCUCCCUCACCCUGGACGUACUCUUCAUUCCCCCGUCCACCUCUACCCUCCCUCCCUAUCAGAGGCGACCAUUAUCCUGACUUUUUAUGUAAAGCAUCUUUGUUUAUCUUUACCACCUAAAUAUAUAUAUAAACAGAUGUUUAUAGCAGUUUUAUUCAUAACUGUAAAAACUUGAAAGCAACCAAGAUGUCCUUUAGUAGGUGAAUAGAUAAUAAACUGGGAUACAUUCAGGCAAUGCACCAUUAUUCAGUCCUCAAAAGAAAUGAGCUAUCAAGCCAUGACAUGAUAUGGAAGAACUUUAAAUGCAUAUUACUAAGUGAAAGAAGACAGUCUGAAAAGACUAUAUGCUGUGUGAUUCCAACUAUAUGUCAUUGUGGAAAAGGCAAAACUGCAGAGGCAGUAAAAGGAUCAGUAAUUGGCCGGGCGCAGUGGCUUACAUCUGUAAUCCAAGCACUUGGGGAGGCUGAGGCGGGCGGACCAUGAGGUCAGGAGAUCCAGGCCAUCCUGGCUAACACGGUGAAACUCCGUCUCUACUAAAAAUUCAAAAAAUUAGCUAGGCGUGGUGGCAUGCGCCUGUAGUCCCAGUUACUCGGGAGGCUGAGGCAGGAGAAUCGCUUGAACUCGAGAGGCGGAGGUUUCAGUGAGCCAAGAUGGCGCCACUGCACUCCAGCCUGGGCAACAGAGCAAGACUCCGUCUCACACACACAAAAAAAGAAUCAGUAAUUGCCAGGGAUUAGGGGGAGGGAGGGAUCAAACAGUGCAGCACAGAGGGUUUUUAGCACAGUGAACUACUCUGUAUGAUACUAUCAUGAUGGGCACCUGUCAUUAAACAUUUGUCAAAACUUGUAGAAUGUACAAGACCAAGAGAGAACCCUAAUGUGAACUAUGGAUCCUGGGCGAUACCGAUGUGCCAGUGUAGGCUCAUGGAUUGUAACAAACACACAGCCCAGGUGGGGGAUGUUGACAGUGGGGAAGGCUGUGCUAUGUGGGGGGCAGAGGGUAUAUGAGAUAUCUCUGUACCUUCUGUUCAAUUUUGCUGUGAACCUAAAACUGCUCUAAAAAAAUAAAAUCUUAAAAAAAAGGAAAAAAGUCUCUUUAAAUGCUAAGAUUUAGUUUUUGGCUAAACUAAACUUUAGCAUUUCAAUGCUAAAGGCUGUUUUUUUUUUUUUAACUUUAUAUAAAUGUAACUAAACAGUGUGUAUUCUUUCAUGCGCCGCACUUUUUACUCAACAUUAUACUUGUGAAAAUCAUCCAGGUUGUCAUGUGUAGGUGUAGUUUGCAGUUUUUAUCAGUGGAUAGUAUUACAUUAAAGAAAUGGCAUAAUUUGUCUGUCUAUUCUACUCUUGACGGACAUUUAGGUUGUUUCCAGUCUAGGGCUAUUAUAAAUGACGCUUCUGUGAUCAUCCUUGCUCUUGUGUGCUGGUGGAGGCAUAUGUGUGUUUCUGAGGGUAUUACUCUGAGCCUGGAGUCUUCUUUGUGGAAAGGUUUAAAUUAUCAAUUCAGUUUAUUGAAUGGUUAUUGGGUUAGUUAAGAUUUACAUACUUUCUUGUGUCCAUUUUUGAUAAAUUUUCUUUUUAAGGGAUUCACCAAUUUAUCUAAAUUUGCAAAAUGUUUUGGCAUAAAACUAUUCAUAAUACUUUCUUAUGAUCUUUAAUAAAGAUGGUUCUGUUGUGAUGUCUCUUUAUCAUGCCUGACAUUGAUUAUUUUAAUCUUCUUUUUCUUUCUUUUGCC